rnacentral:rRNA from 1 species
UACGUAGGGGGCAAGCGUUGUCCGGAUUUACUGGGCGUAAAGAGCGUGUAGGCGGCCAAACAGGUCCGUUGUGAAAACUGGAGGCUCAACCUCCAGACGUCGACGGAAACCGUGUGGCUAGAGUCCGGAAGAGGAGAGUGGAAUUCCUGGUGUAGCGGUGAAAUGCGCAGAUAUCAGGAAGAACACCAAUGGCGAAAGCAGCUCUCUGGGACGGUACUGACGCUGAGACGCGAAAGCGUGGGGAGCGAACAGG